rnacentral:tRNA from 1 species
UCCCUAGUGGCUCAGACGGUAAAGCGUCUGCCUGCAAUGCGGGAGACCUGGGUUCGAUUCCUGGGUUGGGAA